GGGAGGUAGUGACAAUAAAUAACAAUACGGGGUUCUUUCGGAUUUCGUAAUUGGAAUGAGUACAAUUUAAAUCUCUUAACGAGGAACAAUUGGAGGGCAAGUCUGGUGCCAGCAGCCGCGGUAAUUCCAGCUCCAAUAGCGUAUAUUAAAGUUGUUGCAGUUAAAAAGCUCGUAGUUGAAUUUCGGGAUCAAUUUAUUGGUCGUGCCAACGGUACGCACUGGUACAAUUGGUUUCUCCCUUCUGACGAAGCAUGAUGUCAUUAAUUUGAUGUCGUGGGGAAUCAGGACUGUUACUUUGAAAAAUUAGAGUGUUUAAAGCAGGCUUUGGCUUGAAUACAUUAGCAUGGAAUAAUGAAAUAGGACGUUUGAUCUUAUUUCGUUGGUUUCUAAGAUCGACGUAAUGAUUAAUAGGGAUAGUUGGG
rnacentral:rRNA from 1 species